UUUUUAGACCUGUGCAACGAUUGCCAUAGGCAUUGGGUCAGGGUUGGAAUAUACAGCAGCCCACCUUUUGCAAUAGUGUGCCGCAGGUAUCUGAAGAGGG
rfam:Sulfurovum sp. AS07-7 Sequence0000003454, whole genome shotgun sequence.